CAGAAAGUAGUUUAAAUAAAAUUUCAAUUUUGGAGAUUGAAGCUAAAGGGAUUUCUUUUUUUCUGA
rnacentral:tRNA from 1 species